GACGAACGCUGGCGGCGUGCUUAACACAUGCAAGUCGAACGGAAAGGCCCUGCUUUUGUGGGGUGCUCGAGUGGCGAACGGGUGAGUAACACGUGAGUAACCUGCCCUUGACUUUGGGAUAACUUCAGGAAACUGGGGCUAAUACCGGAUAGGAGCUCCUGCUGCAUGGUGGGGGUUGGAAAGUUUCGGCGGUUGGGGAUGGACUCGCGGCUUAUCAGCUUGUUGGUGGGGUAGUGGCUUACCAAGGCUUUGACGGGUAGCCGGCCUGAGAGGGUGACCGGCCACAUUGGGACUGAGAUACGGCCCAGACUCCUACGGGGGGCAGCAGUGGGGAAUAUUGCACAAUGGGCGGAAGCCUGAUGCAGCAACGCCGCGUGCGGGAUGACGGCCUUCGGGUUGUAAACCGCUUUCGCCUGUGACGAAGCGUGAGUGACGGCAAUGGGUAAAGAAGCACCGGCUAACUACGUG
rnacentral:rRNA from 1 species